rnacentral:lncRNA from 10 species
UACGGCAGCUUUAGGGAGGUGCUCUGAGACCCGAAACUAGACUCGACUUUAACAGACACAGACGACCCUGAAGAUGGAAAUGUUUUCUUCCAAAUUGUGCUGCACGUUUUUGGCGAGAGCAUGGGGCUGUGCGGCGUCCCCUCCCUGGCGCCCACCUGUGCCCUGCACACUGGCCUGCACUGUGGUGAUCUCGCUUGGCCCCCACCUGAUUCCCGACAUACAGCAGAGGAACCUUAGGCUCAGGUGGAACAGCCUCAACUGAUUCAGUCCCUGAACUUCCGUACACAGCCCUGGAGUCGUCUUAGAGCCAUGAUUUAUUUAACUGUUCUUUCAUUUUACAGAACAUAAAAUGUAUUGUUUCCAACUUUUUUCCUAUGGUAAAUAAUACUAAAGUAAAUAUCUCUGUGCAUGAAUCUUUUUGUAUAUGUUGGAAUAUCCUUAAGAUAAGGCCCCAGAACUAAAAGUACCCUGUCAAAGGGUGAGCAUUUCCGGUUCCCCUGCUGUGCUUUGCUGCGUUGUUCUCCCCUGCUGCAACGUUCUCACUCCACAAUCCUGGGGCAGGUAGGGGAGGCCCAGCUGAGUUUGGAUCAUAAUCCUGAAAGACACAAUCCCAAGCACCAUAAUGUGGAAUGUUGAAAUCCCUAAAGAUCAAAAUCCCUCAAGUCUAAAAUCCCUGAUAUUUCAGAUGACCACAGCUAUAGGGCUAGGUGCACACAAUUAGUAACCGUAGUGAUAUACGUGUACACGUUUCUCUUUUGACUUAUUUCUUUAUGGUCUGUCUUCUUAUAACUGCUACACCCAUGCUACCGUCAUUAGUUACCUCAGUGUUUAUGCAAAAAUACCUGUUAUCGUUGCCUAUUUUAUUGUGUAAAGUGGCCUAUGAAAUGUUCUGUUGUGUUUUUAUGUUUCUCAAAUACAUACCUUUUAAAAAUGUAAAUAAAUAA